CAUGUGAUGCCAUGAUUCGUAGUUGAUGGGCAACAUAUUUGCAUUUCGUGCUAAAAUGCCCAAAUAGCCUGCUAAAAGUCGAGCUUCAGAUCCAACAGGCUGACCAUGAGUAUUUCUACUUACUUUAACACACUCGACAGGAUCUAAGUCGUAUAAAUCUCUAAGUAGCGUACGUCCUCGAACUCUGCGCGUCCCACCACUUUCA
rnacentral:lncRNA from 1 species